rnacentral:rRNA from 1 species
AUUGAACGCUGGCGGCAGGCCUAACACAUGCAAGUCGAGCGGAUGAAGGGAGCUUGCUCCUGGAUUCAGCGGCGGACGGGUGAGUAAUGCCUAGGAAUCUGCCUGGUAGUGGGGGAUAACGUCCGGAAACGGGCGCUAAUACCGCAUACGUCCUUAGGCAGAAAGUGGGUUAUCUUCGGACCUCACGCUAUCAGAUGAGCCUAGGUCGGAUUAGCUAGUUGGUGGGGUAAAGGCCUACCAAGGCGACGAUCCGUAACUGGUCUGAGAGGAUGAUCAGUCACACUGGAACUGAGACACGGUCCAGACUCCUACGGGAGGCAGCAGUGGGGAAUAUUGGACAAUGGGCGAAAGCCUGAUCCAGCCAUGCCGCGUGUGUGAAGAAAGUCUUCGGAUUGUAAAGAGCUAUAAGUUGGGAGGAAGGGCAGUAAGUUAAUACCUUGCUGUUUUGACGUUACCAACAGAAUAAGCACCGGCUAACUUCGUG